UACACAGUUUAAUGUUUCUGGUACAUUCCAGUGAGCAACGUGCAGAGCAUGUUUCAAGCAAUGGUGACAUUCCUCUAACUGCAGUCUGUCCCUUACGUCUGACCUGCCAUUCCCUCUUCUGAGAUAGCGGAUGAAGACAUUGAGAACUCUGCAGUGACAUUUAAAUGAACUGGGUUUGUUUGGCCUGUGGGGAUGGGACCAGCAGACACCGCCAGUGUGUCCUUGCCUGUGGUGUGCUUAAUGACGGCUUUGUGCGCGGUGCUGCUAGUCUAGGUUGAAAACCUGAUGGCUUCAUCUCUGGCCCGGUGAUCUUUGCUGCCGUACUGUGGGAGAAUAGGGCGGGCGCUGGCCUGACUGUAACGUCCUUCCUUUAAUAGGGAACCGCUGUCAGGGUUUAAGAAAGAAAAGGGUUUUAAAGAACGUGUGUUCCCAUGAGAGGGGGGUGCCUUCGACACCCUGUAGAAGAGAAUUCCAGAAGGACGAGCACUGUGUUCUUCCUGAGAGACGGGGAGAUCUGCCUGCACCCACUCAGCAUCUGAGCUUGCUGGGUAAAACCCGGUGUUGGGCGUGCGGCUGAGCAUUUAUUCCCAUGAUAUUUUUACCCUGGGUUUUUGAAUAUGGUAAUUUCUAGGACGCAGACUGAUUUCAUUCCACGUGAGAUUGUCACACGAUGUCAUCUGAAAACUGUUAUCAGGCUUUGAAAAUGUAUACUAAAGAAUCACGAGUGGUUUUUUUUUUUUUUAACUUUUAAACUAUUUGCCUAGUUUUGUAUAGUCCCCCAUGUACAGAGCCCUCCCCUCUGAGGUGUAUAUUAAUUAAAGAGUAAGUUCUACAUGUUGUCCAAAUACAACCUUGCUAGUGAUAACUGUGUUAACUGCCUAGUCCCCAAAUGUCACAUAACCAGGGUGAUUGGCACAGUAGCCCAGGUUGUUGAGAACUGCUCUUUGUAAAGCCAUACCUUGAAAAGCCUACAUUCCCAACAUCAUCAAAGCGCACCUGACAAUCUCAGAAAGACAGGUCGGGGAGGGACACAGGACCCCGACCCUGGCCUUCAGACUUGCUCAGAAAACAGACGUGCAUCCUUCUGCAUAUGUGUGUAGAAGUGCAGGCUGAGGUAUGUUGAGAGGUCUGCUGGUGUCUUUACCAAAUUCUUUUUCUUCUUUUCUUGAGACAGGGUUUGUCUGUGUAGCCCUGGCUUGUCCUCAAAUUUUGUAGACCAGGCUGGCCUCAAACUCGGAGAUCUGCCUGCCACUGCCUCCCAAGUGCUGGGAUUAAGACUUGCCACAUCCUUUUUACACAGAGCACAAAUGAUCAGUACUUUGGAGAACAUUUAAACAUUCGCACACCGCAAAUAAGUCAGUAUGAAUUAGCGGUGACUCCCCACACCUGAGUCCCUAAUGUUUAGGGGUCAAAUUUUCUCCUUUUUAAAAAGAUGGUGAUUACUUUUUGAGCCUAUGAAAAUUUUAACGAACCUUAACAACUUUUUCCUGUUCUAGGAGCAGUGAGAUAAUUUAGAGUUAACUUCUAUGCUGGAAACAUCUGAAAAUGUUUGAGAGAUCCAGUCAUAUUUAAAAGAAAUGAUAUACGAGUCUUUUUAAAACAUCUGAUUUUAAGGUCUUAAUUAAAACAGUUUUCCAU
rnacentral:lncRNA from 1 species